UGUCCUGCCACCGCUCUGAGCC
rnacentral:miRNA from 1 species